rnacentral:misc_RNA from 1 species
GAAGGAAAGAAGUUUGGUGGGGGUAAGAUGCUUUAGUUAUUAAGCAUUUUGUUUAUUGUUUGCCCCAUUUGUGUAGUUGAAUUCUUUUCACUAUUAAUAUAAUGGAGAGUGUAAUUUAAUUUUUUAUUUUUUAUGUUAUUUUUUGCUUGGAUAUUGAUGCGGACUUGGUGUCCAAUAGAGCUAAAUGGUAAAAAAGGAUUCAUAUAACCGGCUAGUUUGGGAUUUAGGCUUAGUUGUUGUUGUAUAUUAUUUUUUUUUUCCCUAUUUAAAGAGAGGUUAUGGAAUGCCUUUCUUCGGUUUUUACAUAAAAAUUAUGAAUUGUAGAGAUAUCUUGCUUGACAUGAUGUAGUCUAGCCCUUUAUGAGAGAUUUUGUGAUUUUGUAACGAGUAUUGAGGCUCUGAUUUUGUCCUAUACUUGCCUCUGAAAAAUGGGAAACAAAGGCUUUCUGCUAUUCCACAUCAGCAAAUGCAAUUUAUAUGUUCUUUUGUGAGUUUAUUGGAAGUUUAAACAAUUUAUGAAUCCUUUUUUCUCCAUUAUUUAUGUCUUAGUCUCUUGAAUUAUGCCUAUUCUUUUCUCAACUCUUGAAAGAGUGCUGUAACAAAAUAGUUGGUUAUUUGGUUGCUAAACUUUGAUAUUAGAUACUUAGAUUGGUGAGGGGCUGAAUAGUGAAUGGGGGUUCUUUUUUGGAUAUUUUCAUAUUCUCGUUCUAAAACUUCAAUUCUCUUUUUUGUUUUAACAUAUAGGAAUCAGGAUUUAAAUGAAACUUUGAGUUUACAACUUAUAUCUUUGUAACUUCUCUAUUUUUUGGGAAGCUGCUAUUCCCACCUUUUUUGCUUAUUACCUAGCCAUAGUUAUUAAAGGCACAAGGCGCACUAAGGCGCCAAGGGCUCCUGGAGCCUAGGCGCAAGGCG